GACGAACGCUGGCGGCAGGCCUAACACAUGCAAGUCGAGCGCCCCGCAAGGGGAGCGGCGGACGGGUGAGUAACGCGCGGGAACGUGCCCUUUGCUACGGAAUAGCCCCGGGAAACUGGGAGUAAUACCGUAUAAGCCCUACGGGGGAAAGAUUUAUCGGCAAAGGAUCGGACCGCGUUGGAUUAGGGAGUUGGUGGGGUAAUGGCCUACCAAGCCGACGAUCCAUAGCUGGUUUGAGAGGAUGAUCAGCCACACUGGGACUGAGACACGGCCCAGACUCCUACGGGAGGCAGCAGUGGGGAAUCUUAGACAAUGGGCGCAAGCCUGAUCUAGCCAUGCCGCGUGAGCGACGAAGGCCUUAGGGUUGUAAAGCUCUUUCGUGGGGGAAGAUAAUGACUGUACCCCAAGAAGAAGCCCCGGCUAACUCCGUGCCAGCCGCCGCGUAAGAC
rnacentral:rRNA from 1 species